CGUGUCCCAUUCUUGUCCCGCGUGUCACUGAAACGUUCAUUUAAUAACCCCACCAACGAUCUUUCACUAAACCUAACUGUCCCAUUCUUGUGCAGCAUGCCAGUUAAACGUACGUCCUGCCCAGUG